UACGUAGGGGGCAAGCGUUGUCCGGAAUCAUUGGGCGUAAAGAGCGUGUAGGCGGCCAGAUAAGUCCGCUGUGAAAUCUCGAGGCUCAACUUCGAGCUGUCGGUGGAAACUGUCUGGCUAGAGUCCGGAAGAGGAGAAUGGAAUUCCUGGUGUAGCGGUGAAAUGCGCAGAUAUCAGGAGGAACACCAAUGGCGAAGGCAGCUCGCUGGAACGGAACUGACGCUGAGGCGCGAAAGCGUGGGGAGCGAACAGG
rnacentral:rRNA from 1 species